rnacentral:lncRNA from 1 species
AUGACGCACGAGAUGUCGCAUGUCCGGGAUCCGCCAGGGCCGUCCCCGGCCUCCCUCCCGGGAGCGGGUGUUCGGGAGAGCGAUCCCUGCUCGUGUUCAGGUGGUGAUUAUUCCGAGCUUCGCCCCAUGGAAGUUGAGGCCAAAAAUGGAAUACUCUUCAGGAAAGUCUUCAAAAUAGUCCCCAGCCCUGUCGGAUAUGGAACGAACCUUCCGACCUCUACUCCCAUCCCGAGGGCGAGUGGCCGUCUCUCAACCCUUCUGUUCCGCUCAGGUAAUGGGACGCCCGUCUAGCGGCCCUGACUCUCCGCCCUAGUACCGAGUCUCGAUUACCCACGGGGAAGGAGAGAGAAAUAACACCGGUAAUACAGAAUGGGGAUGAGGGGCUGGAUCCCAGUUGGGCCGCCGCGGGAGGAAGAGCCUCGGGAGUUGCCUGGCGGUGGGGGUGCCGCCAGGGAUUGGCGGGGCCCGGAGUCACCUGGGCAGGUGUUGGAGAAGGUCGAAAAGAAAACAGAUAUGCAGCAGUUGAGAGUUUUAAAAUCCGCAGGGUGAACGUGGAUGACGAAGCCCACGGAUGGCUGGAAUUUGACGGUGCACGCUCUCCCAAGCGCUUAGGACAAUGCUCUGCACUCCGUAAGCACUCAAAUGCCACUGAUGAUGAUGGUGAUGAAUCUCGCGGGCAGGGAAUGUGUCUGUUUAGUGUUAUUAGUCUAUAUUAAUUAUUAGCUAUUAGUUAUUAGCCUAUAGUAAUAAUAAUAUUAAUGUUGGUAUUUGUUAAGCCCUUACUAUGUGCAGAGCACUGUUCUGACACAAGGGGAUCAGGUUGUUCCCCGGGGGGCUCACAGUCUUCAUCCCCAUUUUCCAGAUGAGGUAACUGAGGCCCAGAGAAGUGAAGUGACUUGCCCACAGUCACCCAGCUGACAAGUGGCAGAGCCGGGAUUCGAACCCAUGAUCUCUGACUCCAAAGCCCAGGCUCUUUCCACUGAGCCACGCUGCUUCUCUACAGUGCUUUGCACAAGUAAGCGCUCAGUAAAUAAUACCGAUGGCAUCUAAGCACUUACUAUGUGCCAAGCACUGUUCUAUGUUCGAAUGAGUGAAUGAUACCCAGUCCUUUCAACAGCAGAUUGACCGCUAUAGUCUAGAGCUCUCCUUCGUACUAUAAUCGAUCGGUCAUAUUUAUUGAGCGCUUACAGUGUGCACAGCGUUAGUACUAAGCGCUUGGGAGAGUACAAUACAACAGAGUUGGCAGACCAAUCCCUGCUUAAAAUGAGCUUACAAGCUUAAGGGGAACUUAAGGUCCCACAGAGAUACGAACUCAGAUCGCUGGAUUCAGAGUCCAGAGCGCUAACCGGGACACGGAGGAACCGACGCCACCGCUAACGGUCAUAUUCAUCUCUGAGUUCACGCCGCCCACUAUCCAAUCUUUAAUAAGAAAUGAUCACCCCCAUCCAUCUGAAGCCUUAAAUCCAGCCCCGGCCCCAGCCCUAAUGAGGAUUUUGCCAACUGAGGUCGUCAGCGGCCAUUUGGAUUUCUUUUAUGUCGACGAUUGGAGUUGAGUUGUUUGAGGUGAUUUUUCACUCCCACCUUGUGUUAUGAAAUAUCUGGGGCAGAGGACUCUGCUUAGAUCGCUAACCAAGCUAACUCAAUAUUUGCAGUCCCAGGGACUCCCUGGGGCUGUACUGAGAUAACUUUGUAAAAACCGAGAGUUAUUUAUAAAAGCUCAAGGUGCCCUGUUAAUUAGGGAAGACUGUCACAAGCAGAAAAAUGCUCUCGGUAAGCACAUAUUUCCUUCCCCGGCUAUUUGGUUCCCGAACGAUCCGUCGGUUGGCAGAACUCUGGUUAAGACCAAAGGCUAACGGAACAAAUCAGGUCAAGGCAUCAGUGACUUCAGGAACACCGAGUAACACCGAGUAACCAAACACAACGGUCACAACCAGAAAAACGCUCUCAGUAAGCACACGUUUCCUUCCCCGGCUAUUUGGUUCCCGAACGAUCCGUCGGUUGGCAAAACUCUGGUUAAGACCGAAGGCUAACGGAACAAAUAAGGUCAAGGUAUCGGUGUUCCUGAAGUCACUGAGUAACACCGAGUAAACAAACACAACAGUCACAACCAGAAAAAUGCUCUCGGCAAGCACACAUCUCCUUCCCCAGCUCUAGGGUUUGUUUCCCGAACAACCCAUCGGUUGGCAAAACUCUGGUUAAGACCAAAGGCUAAUGGAACACAUAAGAUCAAGCUAUCGGUGACUUCAGGAACACAGAGUAACAGUCUCGAAGGCAAGAGGUGGUCCAAAAUAAGAACUCUAAACCUACGGUAGCGUGAUCGAUUCAGAUGCUAAAGGAACAUAAAGUUAAUCUGCCAAUCGCAUCUAUCGAACGCUUACUGUGUGCAGAACCCGCCUUCAGGGAGGUGACAAUUAGCGGGUGAGACAAAGAAAAAUAAAUUAUCAAUAGGAGGACGUGUUAGAAUGUCUAAUGAAUCUUAUUUAUUGAGCGCUUACUAGGUACAGAGCACUGUACUAAGCACUUGGAAGAGCACAAUACGACAGAAUUAACAGACAUGCUCCCUGCCCACAGUAAGCUUACCAUCUAGAGGGGGAAGCAGACAUUAAACCGAUAUGUAGAUAUGUGUUACAGGGGUUGUGAAUACUAAAGUGCCCUGGCAGUGCUGAAGCGGCAGUUGGGGAAUGUAACCCGGAGAUGAGAAAUUAUUUGGGGAAGACCGCCGGGCGGAGAUGUGAUUUCGAGGAAGACUUGGAGGUCCGUUGACUGUGAAGCGGGACGGAGGGAGUUCCAGACAGUGGAGAGGGUUUGAUUAAGAGAACUGUGGCAAGAGAGAUGAGGAUGAGACACAAUAAGGAGGUUGGCUUGAGAGGAAUGAAGAGCGUGAGCCCGGGUGUAGUGGAAGAAGGAAGUAGUGUAGAAAAAGUAGAGGGGGGAGCAGCUGAUCGAGUGCCUUAAAGUCAGCGGUCAGGGGUUUCUGCUUGAUGUGGAGAAAUAUGGGCCACUUUUUGAGGUUGUGAGGAAUGGGGAGAUAUGCACAGAAAGAUAUUUUGAUUAGACUGUAAGCCCGUCAAAGGGCAGGGACUGUCUCUGUUACCGAUUUGUACAUUCCAAGCACUCGGUACAGUGCUCCGCACAUAGUAAGCGCUCAAUAAAUACUAUUGAAUGAAUGAACAUUUUAGAAAAAUGAUCUGGGCAGCAGAGUGAAGUGCGGACCGGAGAGGGGAGAGACCGGAGGUAGGGAGGUCAGCGAGGAGCCCUGUGCAUUCGUCAAGUUGGGCUGUCCCAAGCCCCUGGCCCUGCACGGACGGAGAGGAAGGGGGCAGAUCGUGAAAAGGGACUGGAUUUGGCAACAGAAUGACACCGGGAUGGAAAGAGAGGGGGGAGUCAAGGUUUAUGCCGAGGUUGCCAUAUUGAGAGGUGGGGCAGAUGGUGGUGGUAGGAUCACCUGGAUUGGGAAAAUUCACUGGAGGAGAGGGUUUGGGAGCGGGGUUUGAAGCCUGAAGAAAAUGCCACUGUGAAGAGUCCCUCAGAGAUGGAGAAGGAGUCAGGGAUCGACAAUACCCAGGACAGUUAUCGAAGAGGAAGGACAAAUUUCCCAACCGCAACUGGAGAUCAGCUGGGGAGAGAAUCCCCUGUGGCACCACCACCUGCAGCUUUCAGAACAGCUAGACCCCCCGGUGGCUUCCGUGGCAAGGUGAGAUUCUGCCGAUAGAGAUAGAAUGGGAACGUGAUUUUUUGGGAAACUCUUGGCACAGAAGGAAUCUGAGUAGAUUAAAGGUUCCAUAAAUGGUGGUCCCUGGGCAUAAUGACUUCUCUAAUGUUUAUCGGGCACUUAACCUAAUGGAAACACAUUUAUCUCUUCUGAGUUCUGCCCUGACAAUUGGCAUUUGGCCCAGUCUUAGCAUGCACAGGGGCAAUGACGAUGUACGUGGGGGGUUGGUCUCGAUUCUGGGCUGUCUGCUGUGAGACUCUCGUACCAAGCAAAUAGCUUCCUGCUGGAAGAACCACUCAGAAGGCAGGAGGGAAUAGUUACAAUACUGUACCUACGGAGACCAUCUGUGAUAGGGUUACACCUUUCCACGGGAGACAUUACUUGACGGAAGCACACGGACACGCAUACACACACAUACGCACAACUCGAGCCUGUGCCAAAGAGGCACACGGCUGGACGCGAAAUACCCGCCGUGGCCUCGCGUCGACAAACCCUCCGUUACUAAUAUGAUCUCACUAGUGCUCACCACCUGUAUUUCACCGUCUGACUCCCGUCUCGUUCCCGAUGCGGAUUGGAAUGUUCAGUCUCCGACCCGGCGCCUCCAUCGUUUGCUACGUAUUGGUGUGAAAGGAGCUUGAGAACGGAAGUGAUGUCCUAGAGGGGCAGACCGAGCAUCCAUCCAUUCUGGCAUUCUUUGACAGAGGCACCAAAGGGGCAGAGUGAUAGUUAGCCUCCAGGCUAUCCAACCAUCAUGGUUAGAAUUGGGCCAUCCAAUAUCCCCAAGUUUUCCCUCCAAUAAUCCACCGUAAGUAGGCUAAAUCCUUCUCGAUCCUUCUAACUCCUCUGGGAUAAGGCUCUCUUUAUGUGUUCUUUGAUUUGAGGAUUUCUAGCCCACUCUGUCUAUAAUCCACCUGAUGUGUGUGUGUCUCCCUCUCCCCCGGCUGACAUCGGCCCAGAAUAUCAUCCCUCUGUAGACCGAGUGCGAUCCAAGACCUCAUAGGGAGGGUGUCUGCCUACCCCCCGGGCCCCUGUGAUGUGGGCGCCCACAAACGGAAGAGACUGUUCUCUUGGUUGUUUCAGGGUGGUUGCUGCUCCUGUUGAUUUUUCUCUUCUCUCUCCUCGUUCGCUUGAACUCGUCACCCC